AGCGAACGCUGGCGGCAGGCCUAACACAUGCAAGUCGAACGAACUCUUCGGAGUUAGUGGCGGACGGGUGAGUAACACGUGGGAACGUGCCUUUCGGUUCGGAAUAACUCAGGGAAACUUGUGCUAAUACCGAAUGUGCCCUUCGGGGGAAAAAUUUAUCGCCUUUAGAGCGGCCCGCGUCUGAUUAGCUAGUUGGUGAGGUAAAGGCUCACCAAGGCGACGAUCAGUAGCUGGUCUGAGAGGAUGAUCAGCCACAUUGGGACUGAGACACGGCCCAAACUCCUACGGGAGGCAGCAGUGGGGGAUCUUGCGCAAUGGGCGAAAGCCUGACGCAGCCAUGCCGCGUGAAUGAUGAAGGUCUUAGGAUUGUAAAAUUCUUUCACCGGGGACGAUAAUGACGGUACCCGGAGAAGAAGCCCCGGCUAACUUCGUGCCAGCAGCCGCGGUAA
rnacentral:rRNA from 1 species